GAUGAACGCUGGCGGCGUGCCUAAUACAUGCAAGUAGAACGCUGAAGCUUGGUGCUUGCACCGAGCGGAAGAGUUGCGAACGGGUGAGUAACGCGUAGGUAACCUGCCUCUUAGCGGGGGAUAACUAUUGGAAACGAUAGCUAAUACCGCAUAAAAGACGAUAUCGCAUGAUAUUGAUUUGAAAGGUGCAAUUGCAUCACUAAGAGAUGGACCUGCGUUGUAUUAGCUAGUUGGUGGGGUAACGGCUCACCAAGGCAACGAUACAUAGCCGACCUGAGAGGGUGAUCGGCCACACUGGGACUGAGACACGGCCCAGACUCCUACGGGAGGCAGCAGUAGGGAAUCUUCGGCAAUGGACGGAAGUCUGACCGAGCAACGCCGCGUGAGUGAAGAAGGUUUUCGGAUCGUAAAGCUCUGUUGUAAGAGAAGAACGAGUGUGAGAGUGGAAAGUUCACACUGUGACGGUAUCUUACCAGAAAGGGACGGCUAACUACGUGCCAGCAGCCGCGGUAAUACGUAGGUCCCGAGCGUUGUCCGGAUUUAUUGGGCGUAAAGCGAGCGCAGGCGGUUAGAUAAGUCUGAAGUUAAAGGCUGUGGCUUAACCAUAGUACGCUUUGGAAACUGUUUAACUUGAGUGCAAGAGGGGAGAGUGGAAUUCCAUGUGUAGCGGUGAAAUGCGUAGAUAUAUGGAGGAACACCGGUGGCGAAAGCGGCUCUCUGGCUUGUAACUGACGCUGAGGCUCGAAAGCGUGGGGAGCAAACAGG
rnacentral:rRNA from 1 species